UACGUAGGGACCAAGCGUUGUUCGGAUUUACUGGGCGUAAAGAGCUCGUAGGUGGUUCGGUAAGUCAGGUGUGAAACCUCCAGGCUCAACCUGGAGACGCCACUUGAUACUGCUGUGACUGGAGUCCGGUAGGGGAGCGUGGAAUUCCUGGUGUAGCGGUGAAAUGCGCAGAUAUCAGGAGGAAUACCGAUGGCGAAGGCAGGUCUCUGGGCUGACACUGACGCUCAUGCACGAAAGCGUGGGGAGCAAACAGG
rnacentral:rRNA from 1 species